rnacentral:ncRNA from 1 species
AGCUGGUUCCUUCCGAAGUUUCCCUCAGGAUAGCUGGGAACUCUUGCAGUUAUAUUCGGUAAAGCUAAUGAUUAGAGGCCUUGGGGACGUAAUGUCCUCAACCUAUUCUCAAAACUUUCAAUGGAUAUGGCGUCGCAGUUUCUUUAGUGAACUGCGGCGUGAAUGCGAGUUCCAAGUGGGCCAUUUUUGGUAAGCAGAACUGGCGCUGUGGGAUGAACCAAACGUGGAGUUAAGGUGCCUAACUUCUCGCUUAUGAGACCCCAUAAAAGGUGUUGGUUGAUAUUGACAGCAGGACGGUGGCCAUGGAAGUCGGUACCCGCUAAGGAGUGUGUAACAACUCACCUGCCGAAUCAACUAGCCCUGAAAAUGGAUGGCGCUUAAGCGAGAGACCUAUACUCCGCCGUCGCGGCAUGUGCGUUGUCUAGCGCCAGGUCGCGACGAGUAGGAAGGACGUGGCGGUUGCGUUGAAGGCUAUGAGCGUAGGCUCGGCUGGAGCUUCCGUCAGUGCAGAUCGUAAUGGUAGUAGCAAAUAUUCAAGUUCGAUCCUUGAAGACUGAAGUGGAGAAGGGUUCCACGUGAACAGUAGUUGGAUGUGGGUCAGUCGAUCCUAAGGUACUGGCGAAAGCCUUGUAUCAUCGGUGGCGAAAAGCUUGCUUUUUGUCCCCGCCCGUCGAAAGGGAAUAGGGUUAAUAUUCCCUAACUGAGAUGCAAAGAUUGUGUUCUUCGGAGCACAAGCGCGGUAACGCGUUCGAACUUGGUAAGUCGCUCAGAGACCGAGCUAGAGUUUUCUUCUCUAGUUAAGGAACGGACUCCCUGGAAUUGGUUCAGCCAGAGAUGGGGACGUUGUUUCCGAAAAGCACCGCGGUUUCUGUGGUGUCUCGUGCUCUCUGAACGGCCCUUUAAACACCAAGGGAGGCUAUUAAUUUGCACUCAAUCGUACCGAUAUCCGCAUUAGGUCUCCAAGGUGAACAGCCUCUAGUCGAUAGAAUAAUGUAGGUAAGGGAAGUCGGCAAACUAGAUCCGUAACUUCGGGAAAAGGAUUGGCUCCAGUGGUCGGAACGGUUGGC